rnacentral:rRNA from 1 species
CGGACGGGUGAGUAACGCGUGGAAAACCUGCCGUAUACUGGGGGAUAACACUUAGAAAUAGGUGCUAAUACCGCAUAAGCGCACAGCUUCGCAUGAAGCGGUGUGAAAAACUCUGGUGGUAUACGAUGGUUCCGCGUCUGAUUAGCUAGUUGGUGGGGUAAUGGCCUACCAAGGCAACGAUCAGUAGCCGGCCUGAGAGGGUGAACGGCCACAUUGGGACUGAGACNCGGCCCAAACUCCUACGGAAGGCAGCAG